rnacentral:tRNA from 1 species
UUUAGUUUAGUUUAAUAUAAAACAAUAGCUUGUCGAGCUUUAAAUACAAUAUUAUAUUGUACCUAAAU